rnacentral:sRNA from 1 species
AGCGUAGAUGUGUGUCGGCGUGCCGAUAUGCGUUGGCAUACGGAGCUUUCGGGAGGGGUUUGUGUAGUGUAACCUCAAAUCGGCGUAGGCUUAAUGCCGAAAGAAAAUGCACUA